UGGGGAAUAUUGCACAAUGGGCGCAAGCCUGAUGCAGCGACGCCGCGUGGGGGAUGAAGGCCUUCGGGUUGUAAACUCCUUUCGACAGGGACGAAGCUUUUUGUGACGGUACCUGUAGAAGAAGCACCGGCUAACUACGUGCCAGCAGCCGCGGUAAUACGUAGGGUGCAAGCGUUGUCCGGAAUUACUGGGCGUAAAGAGCUCGUAGGUGGUUUGUCGCGUCGUCUGUGAAAUCCCAGGGCUUAACUCUGGGCGUGCAGGCGAUACGGGCUAACUUGAGUGCUGUAGGGGAGACUGGAAUUCCUGGUGUAGCGGUGAAAUGCGCAGAUAUCAGGAGGAACACCGAUGGCGAAGGCAGGUCUCUGGGCAGUAACUGACGCUGAGGAGCGAAAGCAUGGGUAGCGAACA
rnacentral:rRNA from 1 species